rnacentral:pre_miRNA from 1 species
CAAAUAUCAUUCCGUCCAACAAAAGAUGUCUUAAGUUUGCCAAAAUUUGGAUGUAUCUAUGACUUAGUGUAUAGAUCCAUUCACAUUUAGUCAAAACCGAGACAUCUCUUGUUGGACCGAGUAAGUAUAUA